ensembl:lncRNA
GGGCUGGGAGGAGAAUGGGACCGGUUUGUGCACCCGAAGACUGGGAGUCCCCUCCCCCCCAAACAGCCAGGACCCGGGGCUGUGUGGACCACAGCUCUGCCGCCACCUCCUCCUCCCAGAGCCUCUGGGAUUGCAGCCCUAAACAUUCCAGCUCCAGGGCAGCGUGUCUCUUGCUCUCCACCAGCCUUUCUUGCCAGGAAAUGCAGACUGCAAAUAAUUUCACAGCUGGGUGGCACUGGGUGCUGGCCUCUGAGCGGUCACUUCCGGUGAUGGCACGCAUUCUGCGUAAUUGUUGUGCCACAACAAACCAGCCCAAAGCCUAACACUUAACCUGGCCACCACCACGUCUUUCCUUCACCAACCUGCAGGAGGGCAGGGCCCAGCGGGCAGCUCCUCUUGGCUUUAUGACAUACCACUGGUUCGCUCAUGCAGCUGACAGGAGGAAACGCGAUUGAAGCUUAAUCCAAUUUUCUAACACCCGAAAACAGCUACAAGGAAAACAGACGGCAUGAAGGGAGAAUGGCAGGGCCUGCCUCCAAAGGGCUCCCUGGGCCCUAGCUGUCCUGCUGGAAUGUUCCAUUGCUAUAGUGCUUGCCCUUGGGCAUGGGGGAAAGUCCAGCCACAUCGACAGGGCCUCCAGAAUGGUCUGCUCUGUCCAGCUGCCCUCAAGUAGUUCUUUCUGAGCUAGGUGUGGUAAUGCCAGCCUGGAAUCCCAGCACUUUGGGAUACUAAGGCAAGAGGACAGCAAUUUUAGGCCCAGUGUGAGAAAUUUAGUGACUUAGUGGAAACCUGUC